UGUAAUGGAAACGCUAUCGAAUUAUUAAUGAAUCCAAGUAGAAUUUCUUCUUCGUGUAGGCUGUGUUCUUUGAACCAGUAGGCUCUUACCGUGAGGUUUGAGAAUAAACCCUAUCUAUCUUUACCAAUUUAUGAUCCAAAUCUUGUCAUCGUACUCAGGUACAUGACAAUUGGUAUCUAGAGCUAUUUCGAUCCAUACCCUAAUCAUGGAUGCAGAAAUGGAUUUAGAGGAAAAGUGGGUGCAAAUGAAUGGAAAAUUGGUACCAAUAAUCAAGUUAGAGAGGUUAGCAAGAGAUGAUUUAGAUGGAUGCAUAAAGUGGUAUAAGUUUUGGAUGGAAAGAAUUAACUCUCCAUCUCAAAAUUCUUGCCUUCGGAGAUGGUCAAAAAAUAUGGACAAGGCGUUGAAGAGAUUGAAAUCGAUCCAGUUUAUUAGAUAUACUUCUCCAUCUCUUCCACCUCCUUUCAGGGUGAAAGAAAUUUCUACAGAUAUUUGUGACUCUUCCGUUGAGUUGAUUCCUUCUUACUUCUUUGAAGAAAUGGUUGAUUCAACAAAUAGUUUGAGUUCUCAAGCUGAAGAAGUUUCAACUGUGGUUAACUCAAUUCCUUCCGCUGUCAACGAAGAGGAAGUUUCUCUCAAUUUAUGGUCAAAUGGAUUCAAAAUCUGGGAAGUAAAUCAGUUCACGAAUGAACUACUGGUGAGAAAUUGCGUCAAAUUUUUUUCAGAACACCGGGAAUAUGUUGACUUUUUGAACGAAUUAUUAUUUCUCCACAGCAAAAUUUUAGGUAUGGCUUAUAUCCACUUCAAACUUGAUGAUUCUCGUUUGUUAUUUGAUCGUGGAAAGUAUUUUGGAACGUUGAUUCUUAGCUCUGGGUUUAAAUCAGAUUAUGGGUUUCUAGAUUCGAUCAUUCAUGUAUUUGCUAAAGAUACUGAGAUUCGAAAUGAUAGUAAAAUGUUUGUUAAAAUGCCUAAGAGAGAAUCUGGGAGUUUGAGCAGUGACAGAGAUGAUUUUGUCUUACAACUUCAUCAAGAUAAGAUGUUUGUUAAAACAUUUCCGUUGGAUACUGUGUGUUUUGAGUACAAAUUUUUUUUCAACCACACAUUGCACACUAGGAAAUCUUCUCAGGGUUGUUUAUGGUCUGCUGAUAAAGUAUUUGAUCGUGGAAAAGAGUUCCAACUUCUCAAGGGGUUAUUUUCUUUUAACUGUGAAUCUGAAGACUAUUUAGAUGCCAUUACUUCUUCUGUGAUUGUUAUUCUUGGGUACUGUUUCGAUUUGCUGUUAGAGUAUUCAAAUAUGACUUUGUUUGUUCAAAAUGGUGAUAGCUAUGAUGAUAGCCAGAUGUUUCAUAACAGGCCUCAACAAAGCAAUGUUCCCUGAACUACUUUGAUAUUUCAAGGGCCAAGGCAAGGUAACCACACUGAAAAAUUUGUUCAUGUGCUUGUUAGUGAGCAUGGGUUUGAAUCAUAUUCUUCCUUUUGUGCUUCGAUUUUCUUGGUGUCUGUUACAACUGGUGAUCGUGGUCGGUUGUUUUCAGAAUCAUCACAAGGACAUAGUACAACACUGCCUACUUAUUUGUCUGCGUGGACGCUCAUGUGUGAGAUUAAGAAUGUUAGUUGUUUCAUCAAAUGCUUGAGAUGUGGGAAGAGGAAAAUUUUAUUUUCCAGCUGAAGUAUGUUUUGCCUAAUGCGAUGUCGAUUCGUCAGUUUGAGGCUUUUGGUGUUGGUUGUAUUCAUAAAGAAGAUUUUAACCCAGCAACUGCAUGUUCUAACCAAGUGAUUAAAGUCUUGACUUCAGCUAGUGAUCGGAAAUUUUCUUGUCAUAUACCACUGUGGAGUUUGACUUGUGGUGCAGGCAAUGUGGUUUUUCCUUCUGCUGCAGUGAUUUUCUAUGGGUUAUUAAUGCUUAUAGCUGCUAGACGAGGAGCUGAUGUUCUACUUGGUGAGUGGUUGGGGGUUUGUGGUGUUUCACAUGGGCAUACAAUUAUGCUACCAUAACCUUUCCAGGAGUUUCCCCUGUUGAAGCUCAUUUUAUCAGUUCCCAGAAGUGUGAGAGUUUUUUCACAAUCCUCGAGAAUCAGUUACUUCUUACCUACACCUAAUAUCUAUAGCAGUGGUAUGAUGCCAGGGGGAAUUCUAAUGGGAACUCCAAUCUUAGUCACGGAGUUUCAGAUUCUAAAAAUGUUAUUGUGGAUGGGGUACUUACGGAGGAAAUUCUGAUUGGUUCCAUCUGGUUUGUGGAGUAUAGCUAGUUAUGAUGUUUUCAAUUGGGUUUUUAUUGCGCUAGCUGGAGCACCUGGUACUAUUUGUUGUGGUCGCUGGUUAUUUGAUAGAGGAAAAAUGCGUAAAUCCAUAUCAGGGGAUUUUCGUUUGAGGAGUUUUUCUGGUGCGGAUGACAGUAUGUUGCAGAUUCAAGUUAGUUUAUUUGCUGCUACAAGGGUCCUUUAUGAUGAAUUGUUGAAGAUUGGUGUUGUUUCCCAUGAACAUACAGAUGUAGCACAAUCUGUUUUCCUUGAAUUUAAACUCAUAUUUAUGCUUCCUUUGCGGAUUUUCACAAUUGUAAGAAUGUUUGUUUAUCCUUUGAGCCGCGACUGUUCAGGUACUUCACAAGAUAAAGGAAUUCUCUAUGUUGGACCAUUACAGGUCAAAGAAAAAAUGAGUAUGAAAUUUCUGAAAUAUAAUCAGAUUGGUAAUUACACCUUGGAUAAUGCUCGUCGAUGCUUGCCUGGUUGCAGUCAGUUGUUAGGUUUCUUAUUUCGAAACAAAGUACGUUACCGAGGAGUGUAAUUCUGUGAAUGGGCAUCAGAAAUCACACUUACUCCCACAAGGAUUGAUGGAGUUGUUUUAGAUGUUUGGAUUAGUUGUUUAUCAUGCAGUGGCAGUUGGUUGUUGGUGGUGGAGAAAGAUGAACUACUUCAGUUGGAUAUUUUAUUGGUGAUAACCAACAGCUCUUGGCGCAACUGAAUAUCUCUACAACUAUUGGCAGCACAGUACAAGGGACAAAGAGGUCAUCAACUCACAUGCUUGCAACUAUACUAGAUACGAUUGUAUGGUCACUGAGAAAUCUAUUCUGCUUGCAACUCACAUGUACUCUAGUUUUGAUGAUAAAAGCGGGCAGACCUACAACAGUCAGCUAAGUUCACUGGUUGAUCUUGAGGCAGUAACUACCAUCAGGUGUGCGCAAAUGCAGUCCGCAAGGGAGUGGGCAAAAUGGUAGGUGGACUUCUGAACCUAGUGUUGGAGUGUUUAGGUACAUGACACAUACGAGCAAGGAUUUUGUUACCAUUAUAAUGUCGUGGGAAGCUGACAAGAAUAAAACUAGUUUGAAGGCCGUGGACGCUUCCACACAAAUCUCAGGGAACACAACCACUGCGUGUUUGGGAUUGGGAAGAUAUUUUAACCCUAAUACUAAAAGACUACACAUGCUUUUUCUUUUUUUUGACUUAAAAGGGUUAACUUCAUCGACAAAAAUCACAAAAAUCACAGGAGAAGAAACGCAUGGGAGAGUCCAAGGGAAGUCAAAGGCCAACGAAAACAACAAAGAAAAUUCCUUUUCGCACAAGAGAAUCACGAACAGGAACGUAGAACAAACAAACUUCUUACUACAGGAGAAAUUAAAGUCAGACCAACUGAUAGGGCAUUGCUCGGUCGAACUCACAAGUGUUGCUAUAUCAAGCUUGUUGUCAAAUUUAUUUUAUUAAAACUAUAUUUUGAUUUCUAGUCUAUAAUUAGUCAAGUCUCGGAUUAGGAUAGAAGUAUAAACUUGAGAAUGGGACAUCACCGCAUUCUAUCGUUUGAAGGUAAAGAUCAACUGAAGUUUUUGGAGAACUUCUUCAACAAGAGUGCUUUUGUAGAAAUUACAAGUGGAUUCGAUCCUCAGAUAAAAAAUGGCUAAAUAGAAGCAGUAUGGCGUUUGGGGCAUAUAUGUUACUCCCUGUGUCAAGAAGACGAAGCUUAAUGGACAGUGGGCCACCAAGUUAACCAUUUAAACUAGCCCACCCACACAUACAUUUCACGGCCAGAAGGUGGUGAUGUUUUGAGAACAGACGGGGACCUGAGCAGCUGCCGUCACCACCAUUUCCAAUGGUGCGAAGAUUAAUUUGUUGACGAGAAAACAGGGCAAGGAAGGAGUUGGAGACUUCAGAUGAAUUGGAAAACCAAUCAACAUCAAGGUUAAAGAUGUCCCUGGAUUUAAUAGCAUCUAUUGUUCUAAUGGCUGAAAUUCGACAAUGGGUUUUGUUCUUGCUGUCCUGAUUUUGAGAAAUUGAUUAAUUGAAUCAAUUAGGUGAAGAAAGGCGUGAAUGAGGAUGGUUUGUUGUGGACUGAAAUGGGUCUAAUUUGAUCUCAAAUGAUUUGAGAUGCAGUCAAUUGAAUGAAGGCUUGAGUAGUUGAAUUGACGGUGUAUGAACCUGAUUGCAGCAGCGGUUAUUCUUUAAGUAACUACAAUAGGUAUGGCAGGUCCGUUGCAGGCAGCAUUUUUGUAUAGGAAAGAACAACAGCAAUGGCAGCUGUUGGUACUGAAUUUAAGGGAUUUCUGGUGGUUGUUUUUGAGAGAUUGAGAAUGGAUACUAGAUGAUGCUGCUACUGCAAUUAAUUGCUCGAAUGAAUGGCAUGAAGUUUUAUUGUUUUAGGGUCCUGGUAUGCUUGGGAAAUUCGUGGUCUUGUGAAUUCGAAAUUGCAGGUGCAACUAAGAUAUAAGAGGAGCUUCAUACAACCAGCUGGAGGCUACCUCUGUACGUACUGAAGUUGCACUGCAGUUGCUCGCAGAAUUGCCUGAAAGAAGAAUUUAGAAAUAGAAAGUGGUGAUGUGGUGCUCACUGGUUGCAUUCGAUGGAGGCCAUUAGCUGACGCAGUAGAUGAUGUAGGAGUUGUGUUAACUGAACUCGUUCUGUUGUGUAUGCCGGUGUUGGUUCGAAUGAAGAUGGAUUUGGCCUGAAAUGAUCUUGAUGCGGUCGUGGUUAAUGGAAAUGGCUACAACAAUGCGGUUGUUUGGAGAUAUUUGUGGUUGUUGAUGCGAACGGAGAAGAAGGCUUGUUUACUGUGAUGGAGCUGCACUAUGGAGUCGUUGUUGCUUACUCGACUGUACGUACAACAAUGAUAUUUAGGAGUUCGAUUCAUUGAAGCAUAUGGACUGAAUAAGAAGAACUGAUGGGGGAAACAAUGGAAUUACGAUGGUCGUGAAUUGUGGCCGACAGUGCAGCUGGAGUUCGUACCUUGUGUAUCGAUGAAGCAAACAAAAGAGUUGUUGUUGCCCGCUGAAUGGAGAGUUGGACGUGACUGAGAAGGUGGCAGUAGCGAGAAUGGAGAUGACAUCGAACUGCCGAUACUCUAAUGGCAGAUGGCUGCAGAAGAAGAAAUUUGUGUUGAUGAACGAGAACAAAGGGAGUUGGUUUAUCUGUCUUGAGCUUGGCAGUAAGGAAUAAGGAUGCAGGAUUGGUUAGACAACAGUUUGAGGAACAAAGGGUUUAUAUGAAAGUUCUCGAUGGAGAAAUAGUCACAGCAACAGGGGAUGAAGAAACGGAGACCUGGCCGGACGAUGAAGGAAAUUCGAUGGGGUGUUGCGCAGUUGAUGGAUAUCAGUCGAUGGCAGGCAAAUAAUUGCCGUGUACACAGCCAAGUUGGUGGCGCUGUUAACAUGGUGAAGUUGGAGGUUAAGAAGAGCUUUUGAUUCCAGGGACGUUUAGAAAGAAAUGGAAGUUUUUGCUCGAUUUGAUUUGGGUUUGGCAGAGACUACACAUGGAGCUGUUGCCGGUGAAUUAUAACUGCAGUUGAGAGAAGAUCGGAGUUGUACUGCUGGUGAUGAUGGCGAUAGUUUGGAUUAUUGAUGCUGUAGCCGGACUUGGAUUAUUGAUGUGUUGGUUGGAUGAUAUGCUGGUUUGUUGUGGGCUGAAUAUGGAAAGUGGUGUCGAGGCCAGAGUUCAGGAAAUCAGUGCGAUAUUGGACUGGGCCUAAGCAUUUUACUAUGUCUUAGUCAGAUUUGUUUGCAAGACUAUAAGAAGAAGGAAAAUUUGCUAUUUGGUCCUAAGUCCAUAUAGUUAUUUAUAGUAGGGUCCCCAGAAUUUUCUUUUGUCCGAAGGUCCAAAAUUAAUUAAAACAUGGAAAUGGUCAUAAUACCCUCGACUACCAAACAUGUGUGUCUACAUGCUCAUUAUAUUGAGUACAUAUCUGCUACAUUGUUUACAAAUUCGAGUACAUAUCUGCUACACUGCUUACAUAAUUUGAGUACAUAUCUACUACACUGCUUACAUAAUUUGGGUACAUAUCUGCUACACUGCUUGCAGGUUAAAUU